rnacentral:lncRNA from 1 species
CUCAUUCUCUGCAUCAGCCAGACUUGGCAUAAGCCAUGACCUGUUUCAGCCUCAGUUUUCUUGUCUGUAAAAUGAGAAGAUUAAACUAUUCUAAAGUUGAUGCUUGGCAUGCUUUUCUCUUCCCAGGAGUCUUGUGUAAAAACUAAACAGAUACAACAGAUUUACUCCUCCGUCAGCAAUAUUUACUGAACACCACUAUGUUCCAGGCAUUGUCUUGGGUGCUGAUUAUGAAGCAAUGAACACAGCAGUCUUGAUUCUCUUGAGGCUUAUGCCCUGGCUGGAGGAAGCAGAUGGACAAGUGAAUGCAUGGUUAUGUCAGGUGGUGAUGAGAAUGUCAGAGUACUAUACCCAAGAGCAAACCAGUGAAAAAAUGGCCUUCGCACUCCUGAGAGACCUUUCACCGGGCUUUCUACUUUUGAAUUCUCUCCAUAGCUGGUUUCCUCUUAGGCCUCGAUAGAGCAGUCCCUGAAUCACACAGGUAUGCUGACUACGUCUUUUCCUGGUACAAACCAUCAUGGGGGAAACACACAGCAAGAAGCAUCUUCAGGUCACAAGAUAG